rnacentral:rRNA from 1 species
GUGACAGCCGCCGCGGUAAGACGGAGGAUGCAAGCGUUAUCCGGAAUUAUUGGGCGUAAAGCGUCCGCAGGCGGUUUCGUAAGUCUGUCUUUAAAGAGUGGAGCUUAACUCCAUAAAGGGGAUGGAAACUGCGAGACUAGAGGUAGGUAGGGGUAGAAGGAAUUCCCAGUGUAGCGGUGAAAUGCGUAGAUAUUGGGAAGAACACCAGCAGCGAAGACGUUCUACUGGACCAAACCUGACGCUCAUGGACGAAAGCUAGGGGAGCGAAAGGGAUUAUAAACCCGAGUAGUCC